UGACGCUAGAAACAGGGAAACCCGUCAAAAGGCACUGACAGCGCGGAGGGAGUUCCACCCUUCCCAGAGCAUCAUUAAUAUGGCUUCUGCUUUCUCUGGUUCCUGCUUCCUUUCCAGUCAUGAUUAAAAGCCUAUGGUCAGCUCUCCGGCGGCGCAUCCAGGUAAAGCUCUGCUCCUCAGUGCAGUCACACUCCCCACUCUGUUCUAACUGUGCCACAGUGCCCUCUCUGGUCACACGAUGUACACUCAACUUCUCAGCUGGUGGACUGCAGAGUGGACGAGAUUCAGCAGCUGGCAGUUGCAGCCUUCUGCACUUCUGAAGAUUGAAAGGACUGAGGACACUGUUUCCUUCUGAUUCUGUGUGGGCUUGACUUGUGAACUGCGGUGAGAUAAGAAGUGGCAGCCGAUGUUGCGGGCUCCGAAGGAGAGUACGUGCUCGUUUGCCUUCCCCUGAAAUGACAGCAGAGGCUACGAUGAGGUUAGCCGCACGAUCGCGGUUGGACAUUCCGAAAAAGAGAGGGAAGAAAACGGUAAAAACAUCAGAAGAAGGUAUCG